rnacentral:rRNA from 1 species
AUUGAACGCUGGCGGCAUGCCUUACACAUGCAAGUCGAACGGUAACAGGUCUUCGGAUGCUGACGAGUGGCGAACGGGUGAGUAAUACAUCGGAACGUGCCUAGUAGUGGGGGAUAACUACUCGAAAGAGUGGCUAAUACCGCAUGAGAUCUACGGAUGAAAGCAGGGGAUCGCAAGACCUUGUGCUACUAGAGCGGCCGAUGUCAGAUUAGGUAGUUGGUGGGAUAAAAGCUUACCAAGCCGACGAUCUGUAGCUGGUCUGAGAGAACGAUCAGCCACACUGGGACUGAGACACGGCCCAGACUCCUACGGGAGGCAGCAGUGGGGAAUUUUGGACAAUGGGCGAAAGCCUGAUCCAGCAAUGCCGCGUGCAGGAUGAAGGCCUUCGGGUUGUAAACUGCUUUUGUACGGAACGAAAAGCCCCGGGUUAAUACCCUGGGGUCAUGACGGUACCGUAAGAAUAAGCACCGGCUAACUACGUGCCAGCAGCCGCCGUAA